UUAACAUUUUGUCUUUUGUUAUGUGUUAUUAGCUAUGGUUAUUAUUAUUAGUCAUGUUCGACUUCAUGCUGCGCUGCGAGAACCGACAUCAUACGUUGAUGACGUCAAUGUAUCGCGAGAGCGAGUCAAGAAAUUACACUCUCGCGGUACAUUGACGUUAUCAACCUGUCAGCGCAGCAAGAAGUCGAACACACGUAUUUGCGGGCGCGCGCCUCCGUCCUCGUGAGUUCAAAGUGGAUUUUAACCGUUUACCUCAGACGACAGUUUUCAUUUCUAUGGCAAAUUCUAAGGUCAUCUUCUUGUGUUUUGAUGUUUUCCAUUGGCUGAAGAAUGCUGUCAUCAGGUUUUAAGUACAGUAUGAGCCAGAAUGGAAGGGUGUUGGUGGCCAUAAGAAGACUGUGAGCUAAACCUACAACAAAAUUCAUAUUUGCAGUUUUCCUAGAAUAUUUUUUUUCUAUUCAGAUGAAUAAAAUGACUUUAAAAUAUUAUUUUGUUUUCAUAUUUUAUGUUUUUAUUCUGUAUUUGGAAUAUUCCACUUCUGCACUACU